CAUAAUAUAUCAAUAUAUUUUAUGAUAUAUCUGGGAAGAAAGAAUAAAUAUAAAAAUAUGUAUUAGAUAUAAAAACACUUGAAAAGUUUAAAGUACUGCAAAUGUGAUUCUUCCCCAUUCCUCACAUGAUGAAGUCAAAGAAGGAAGAGGUAUAUUUUCUCCACUGUCACUUCAGAUUCAACAAGGUGAUGUCCUAGAGGCACAUGGAAAAAGGGCAGAUGUAUUUUUAAAAAAUGAUUAUGGAUGAGAAACCAAGAGCUUCACAUCUGAGUGUAGGGCAUAUGUUCCUAUUGUCCUGGGAGGAUAUGGUAAUACCUGGAGCAAACUGGUAACAUAUAAAUUGGGCUGAUCCCUUUUGAGUAAUAGAUAGUAUUUUCUGGAAGACUUAAUCACAGCAUUUAAAAAAGUAAUGUUUGCCAGGUGCAGGGCUCACACCUAUAAUCUCAACACUUUGGGAGGCUGAGGCAAAAGGAUCAUUUGAGGCCAGGAGUUUGAGACCAGCUCAGGCAAAAUGGCAAGAUCUCAUCUCCAAAAGAAAAAAAAAAAAAAAGAAUUAGCUGGAUUUGAUAGUGCAUGCCAGUAGUAUUAUACUAGUUAGUUAGUAGGCUUAGGAGGAGGCAGGAUCAUUUGAGCCAGGAGUUAGAGUCUACAGUGAGCUACUACUGCACUACUGCACUCUAGUCUGGAUGACAGAGUGAGACUUUGUUUCCAAAAGAGUAGGGGUUACUGUUAAGUCAAAGUAGCUAUUUCUAGAGCCGUCACUGAAGAGCAAACAACAUAGACAAUAUUAACAUCAAUCCUAUAGAUUAAAUGAUAUUUACCUUUUUCUUUAACGUCCUUUUUAAUUAGGAGAGUUUUCACUACUAAUCUGGUGCCAGAGGAAGAUGAUAAAAUAAACUGACUUUACAUGUAUGACUGCUGGAUGGGGAACAACUGAACUUCACAUUUUUCUCUAUUUUUAAUACGAAUAAUGGUGGGAAAAGCCUUUUAAAAUAAUGGAUCUAAAGGUGACUUCCUGGGGAGGAGCCAAGAUGGCCGAAUAGGAACAGCUCCAGUCUACAGCUCCCAGCGUGAGCGAUGCAGAAGACGGGUGAUUUCUGCAUUUCCAUCUGAGGGAGAUUCUGGAAGACCACCGCAAUGUGCCCGGCAUAGGAAGUACAAGCUUGUUGACAUUGUGAGCUGAGGCAGCAGUCACUGCCAUCCCACUGCACCAUCUUCACAAGAAUUUCUGCCUGCAGGGAUUGGAUCACAUCUGCCACUAGAGGAGAAGUGAGAUCACUGAAAGAGCAGUGUGGUACAACUGUGAUUACAAAUGGGAAAAGAAAUGCAUAACAGUACGCCUGAAAAAUGAACGUCUUGUCAGUGCUGAAAUAUUCAGUGUCACUUCCGCCCAUCAUUAUCAUUGCAGAGGUUGGUGUUGGUGUGUUUGUACAUUCAAUAUUAAACAUUGGUCACAGAAAGUUAAUGUUGUUUCAUGCCUCCUGGGAACUUACAGUUUGAAUCGUUCAAUUCAUAUCUUGCAUACCAUGUGUAUGCUGUGUAUUUUGAAUACCAUUAUAUACAAUUGUACUAUUUUUUUCUACUUUGGCAAACACUGGAAGAUCAGAAGGGCAGUAUUAUUAAAUCCAUAUAAUUCUUAACUUUACUCACAGGGAUACAGGCCAGAAACUGCUGUGAGCACAAAUAGAUAGGAAAGGUCCCUGCUGGUUUCACAAUUGUGAUGAGCAGUGGACAUUUAAGAGAUUAUUUAUCAGGCACGUCAAUUGACCUUAAUAUUUUAGGAUAUUUCAUUUGUUUAUAAGGUAUUUAAUUUAUCUGAGACUCAGGUUGUCUCAAUCCCCCUACCCCUCUAAGCUGUAGCCAAGAAUCAGGGAGGAACUGAGGAAGGUCCCUGAGCCAGAAGUCUAGAUGCCAAAGUCUGUCAUAGAAAUCUGGAAUAUAAAAUGAAUAGGAGCCUGAGGCAACUUUUUUUUCUUAUUUUACACAUUGCACCAAAAUGUAUCAUUUGGUUUCUAAGAAUGCAGCAUUCCAAAAGGGCGUAUGGUUCAGCUUUAGGUAAGCACAUUGAUAAUCAAAUGACACAGCAAUUCAUAAGGAAAUAGAAAAUUUACAUAUAUAUAUUCAAACAACUUUGAAAAGCAUAAUAUUCAGGACUUCUUUCCUAUAGAACUCAAUAUUGUGAUUAAAUUAUAAAAGUUUGAAUUAUUAAGCUGCCAUUUCUGUAGAUUAAAAAAUUUGAAAAUUAGCUACUUUAUAUGAUUCAGCCUAAUAAUUGUAGUUACAAUAAUACAUCAAGAUGUUAGCUUCAGUACAUCCACAUUAUGAAAAUUUUGCUCUUCAAAAUUAAAGUCAAAAAGCUUAUAUACUUAAAUUAGGAAUCCUUAACUCUCGAACAAAAUGGUAUGUUUCCCAAAUAUUUCUGUCUGUAUUUAAGGCUGGAGGUAACUGAGGCUUCAUUGAAAUUGGUUAAUAAUCUUUUUCUAAUGAACCUUGAUUUAAAAGUUGGAAGUCAAAUAUGAGCACAAAAUAUUUCUGUAAUGGUAUUAGAAAAUAAAACUUCCCUCUUUUCUCACUCUUUCUCUUUUAACCUCUCUUCCUUUCCUUCAACCUCUUUUCUCCCUCUUCCCCACCUCCUGUUCCCUUUUACAUUCCCCGUCCCUAACCCCAUCUCUCUGGACUUCUUACACUCUUUCAACUUCUCAACCCAUCUCUCCCUUUUCACCUCUGUUAAUCACUUUUUCUUUCUCAAUCCUUCUACUUUUUUUUUCAAUUAACAACCUCCCUCUUCUCCUUUCUUUUCUCCCUCUCCCCAAUCUCUUAUACUCUUCCAAAUUCUCAUCCUCCUUCCCUCUCUCAAUCCUUCUUUCUUUCUCAAUGCCCUCCAUCUUUCUCUUUCAACCAACCUCCCUUCCCCUUCCCUUUCCUUUUCUUACCAACCUUUUCUGUCUUUCUCUGUUCCCUCUUUCUCUCAACCCUCUGCCCAACUCCUCUCUUUUUCUCUCAACCUUUCCUUUCCUUUGCAAAUGCUACAAUGAGAAGGUAUUAUAAAUGUCCUAGUAUUUACUAAAAACCCUCACAUGAAUAUUGGUCUAAAGGUUCUGCUUUCAUUAAGUUAUACUUUUGGAUAGGAACACUGAGGAAAAAUGAAAGAUGAGAUUUGCAGUAGGGAUUCUCUAAUUCUCAUGUUAAUCUGUUUUGUACCAUUUUUACUUUGUCUUCUGUGGAUCUCUUCUUUUUACUAGAUGAUAUUAAAGGGGAUUAAAGUUGUGUGAAAUGUC